UGUGGCGGGGCUUCGGGCGGUAAGAGAAAAAGAACUCUUGGGAGAGAAACCCUCCAAACCAAUCCAAACCCUGUGUUCGUCACUCGGCGGAGUGAACUCUCUCAACUCGGAUGGCGUCGGUGAGGUUUGGGCGUGCAGGCUCAGCCCUGACAACCGCAGACAUGCGUCGGCCCCCGCCGGGACUGGCAUCCCAGUGCGAGGGCCUGACCACCAGAGGAAGAAGAUCGGUCUUCCCC
rnacentral:ncRNA from 1 species